rnacentral:tRNA from 4 species
GCCGAAGUAGCUCAGUUGGUAGAGCAACGGAUUGAAAAUCCGUGUGUCCCCAGUUCGAAUCUGGGCUUCGGCACCA